GCGGCGGUGGCGGAACUGGCAUACGCGAUGGGCUCAAAACCCAUUGCCCUAGCGGGCUUGCGGGUUCGAAUCCCGCCCGCCGCA
rnacentral:tRNA from 1 species